GGAAACCCCACAAGAAACUCAAAAGUCACACCCAAACGUUGUCCAGUAGUUCAUCGUCGUCCCACUUCCAGAACGCCAGUCCAGUCCGCUUCUUCAUCUUUCGUUUCCUAGAGUUUUGGGGACAAAUUCCGGACAUAAGUUUAACCGAGUUGAGGUUAGUUUGAGUUCGUCGUUGUUCGUCGAGAUCUAGUACAUUGAGGUAGAAGAAAGGUCCGUUCCUUUUCUCGUUGCAAUAAUUUAUUUGAAAUCAUUUUUUUGCUUUGUACAUUUGCUCGACACAAAUAAUCAUGAUUCAGACAUUUCUUGUGCCAUUGUUUAAAAUUUUAUUCUAUGCUUAUCCAUUCAUUUAGGAUCAACUUGUCCGUCAGUUGAGAUGUUGAUAAAUAUUGAGAUUUUGCUAAGUUUUAUGUUGUCUGUAUUUUGUUUGAUAUUCUCGAAUUGGAAAUCGUUAUAUGUUUGAUUUUUUUGUUCGUUGGUUAUCAUUUUCUUGUUUAUUUCUUCAAUUUGUUUUUAUUUAAAAAAAUUUAGUUUUAAUAUAGAUGUUAGUUUAAUAAAUAUUUCAUCUUGGUUGCAAUAUUGUUAGAUUUAAUUUGAGUUUAAUUUAUUAUUGAGUUUAGUGAAUUGAAUCCAUUUUUUAUUUCUGUUUAAGUCUAAAUUUGGAUCUGAGUUAGAAAUUUAAAUUUGUUUGUUUGGUCUGUUUAAGUUUAAUUUUAAUUUGAGCUUAGUGAUUUGAAUAUACUUACUUGUUAUUGUUGUUGAAUCUGAAAAUAUAUUUGUUGUUAAAAAUGUUAUUCAGUCAAAAUAAUUUUUGUUCUUUGUUGUUCAUCACUUAGUUUGAAUUGUUGUUGAAUUUGAUUAGGAAUUUGGUUAUAGUUGUAGUAAGUUGGUGUUUUCUGAUAAUUUUGGUGCAUAUUGUAGGGAUGUGGGUAUAUGGUAAUUUUAGUAGUUUGAGGGGGAUAUUUUUGGAAUUGAAAAAUUACGAAUUGUUUAAAAAUAUAGUGCGGAACGUAAUUAUGUAAAGUAAAAAGAUGGAACAAGACAUAUGGGGAGUGUAAUGAUUAAAGUAAAAAGAGAGUGGAUUAUGGGAUCCACGUUUGACUGCUUUUGUUGAUUGGGAAUUAGAAAUAGUAGGUAAUAAUAAAAAGAGUAAUAAUAAUAAUUAAAAGAGAGGAAAUGGUCUGGCAUUUUAGGAUAUAUGAUAGCAGUCAUUUAACACUUAGAAAGGGGGAGAAAAUUUAAAGAGAAAAAAUAUUUUCAAAACUAGAGGGAAGAUAAACAACUACUAUUGUUCAUUAAAGCUUCAAACUUUUCUUUCCUGAGUGAUAAAAAUCAGAAGUUAUUUUGUUUUUUCUUUUGGCAACUCGAUACUUCUUUGUUGGUCUGUCUCCUGGGUUUUUUGUCAUUCCCGCUAAUACUAGGCUAUAUGUUACUGUUACUGGUUGUUUGUUGUUGCUGCGUUGUUUCUACUGUUGCUGAUCAUAUUUUUCCUUUUCCUUGUAUUCAAAUAUCAGGUACACUACUCUGAAUCAAUUUGUAACAUGCAUUGAAGCUGAUAUGAAAUGGCCAGAAGAUUUAUGCUUCCAAUAAUAGAAUAUUUGUAUUCUUUUUAUAUUCAUUAUGUGUUUCAUGUUAUAUGAUUGGUAUAAGAAUGUAUAAUGCGAAGUGUUAAAUUGCGAAACUAUUGACUGGGUGUUGGUAUGAACGCCAUAAGUAUUAGUUUAGGCUUUUGUUAAUUUUUAUAUUUGAAUAAUGUAGUUUGAAAUUGCAUUCAAAUCAAAUUGGUAAAUAGUCAAUAAGAG
rnacentral:lncRNA from 1 species